rnacentral:lncRNA from 1 species
UUAAGACUAGUGCAGUCUUUACUCUCUUGUGAAGAAGUAUGUUUGUUAGAAUAGACAUUCUUUCAUGUUACUUCAAUAUCAUAACUAUAUCAGCAUAUAAUGAUGAAAGGAUAUGCUGAAUUAGUUGUUCUAAUCUUGGACAGGACUAAAAUUUAUCAAGAGGCGGUGACAACAUCAUCCUAGACAAACUGUAUAUGACCUUCCUAUGAGGACUGUACAUAGGUAUAAGAAGAAAAGAUUGACGGUUAUAAGAAAGAGGAAUAACAACAUGACAUGUAAACAUCUUGGAGUUUCAUCUACUGUACUUCAAAUAUGUUUACUUGUAAAAAGAAUCUUUCCAGCUCAAAAAUUGUCUUGCUCAUUCAUUGCUAAGAUAUAAGUUCUUUUUAAUUAGUUCCGAAGGUAUUUGCUGAGUAUUGCAAGAAAAAGGUGAGCUUUGCUUCAUCUUUUUCUCCUGCUCCUGUCAUUUUACGUCAUUAUGAUGCUUGGUUCAUUUCCUCUUUAAUUUUGAAUUCAUUAGUGGAACUAUUCCAUGGAAGAAUACUGUGGUUUUGCUGUCAAGCUGUUUGGAGACUACACUUUUGACAAACAAUGUAAUCAUAAUAGUUCUGUCUAUCCCAAUUCAGACACAUCUACGCAGCUUGUAUUUUUAUUCUCCUUGUAACUUUUGGAUAUUCUCCAAAGCACUAGGGCUUUCUGUUUCAUUUCUUUGAUCUAUGUGCAUUUUGGUUGCAAUUUGAACGUCAAACUUGACAAAUCUAGGGGAACAUUCAACAUUGUGUGAUUAAGAGGCAGUGUAACUUAUGCAUCCAAGGGUGUGGCCUGGUGGUGAGAACCAUGAGGUCUUAGGUUCAAGACCAAAGACCUCAUGGUUCCUGUGGGAGGUGGCAGGUAUCCGAUGGAAUUAGUCGAUGUGUGCACAAGUUACCCUAGAUACUAUGGGUAUUAAAAAAAAAGUGAGAGUGUAACUUAUAGGGUAUACAAGGAUUCGGAGUUUCGAGCUCAUAUUUUUCAAGCAUUUGAUGAUUAAUAAAUAGAACUCUACUAUCUUGGUCAAGUUCACACAUUUUGGCGAACAACAUUUUUUGUAGCUUUGAUCUCUGCAG